rnacentral:ncRNA from 1 species
CUUUACUUCGAACGUCAGAAGGCGCAGCCCUACGGGGCUACGCACAGUACACGAAGAAAUAAAGGGGCCAUUCUCCAUGCACCAGCAAUGGCGCAAAAAACAAAAACGGAUACCCGCGGUUAGUACGGCGCACGCAGGAAGGCGCAGG